GACGGGCUUCCCCGCGGGACGGGCUUCCCCGCGGGACGGGCUGUCCCCGCCGCUGCCGCCUCCCCGCUGAGGGCGCGGGGGGGAGCAGAUGACCGUCGGCAUCACCCUGCCCCGGAGCGUGAGCGAAGCGGGCGAUCCCAGCUCCUCGGGGCGAGAGACCGGCGGAGGAUCUCGGGGCCUGAGGGCAGCCGGAGGCCCGUCAGAGGCGGUGACAGCCGGCAGGCUCGCGGCCCCACAGCUGUGAGGGGAACCGCGGGCCCCUGUGCACGAAGGCAGCCAGCUAAUCCCGGCCUGGCCAGCGCGAAGGGAUCUGGGGCAUCCCGAGCCGAUCCUGGCACCCUGAGGGGCCGAGGUCCCUGGGUCAUGAGGGGACGCGGGACUCCCAGUCCCCCAGCUGUGAGGGGAGCCACAGGAUCCCGGAUCCUGAGGGCAGCCUGAGCCCGCUGGAUGCUGAGAGUACUAAGGUACCCGGAGUGUGAGGGGAGGCUGGGGUCCUGAAGCCCUGAGAGGAGCAAGACUCCUGCGCCACUCCCAUUCUUUGUCAAGAGGUUGUGGACAUCCUCCCUGCUUCCCUCCGCUGCUGUCAGUGCUGUCCCUGGCCUUGCUGGAGUGUCUGUGGGGAGCUGUGGCCCCUCCAAAUAGAUGACAUACUCAUCCCCUACUUUUCUCCCCUUUAGAACAUCUCACCCAUAUGUAACUAACUGCCAGGGAGAAGUCUGAUUUUUCAGUCAGUGGUCAGCAAAGAGCUGAAUAAUCUCACGCUAAAUACUAACUAAACCCUCCUUCACAGCUGCUAAAAAGUGUUUCAAAAGCAGACUAGUGAAACAAGGUCUCUCUAAGCUUUGAAUGACUUUUCUGUGUAAAGUAGUCGGCACAUUUGCUAGAAGGGCAUUUCUUGUCCGUUGUGGGGAAAGCCUAUCUGUAAACAGGAAGGCAGGCAAGUCUGAAGGGGGGGGAAAUGUCUCCUCAAUUUGGAAGAUAUUCUGAGUACAUUUCCCAGAAAAAAGAUGUAAAGACUCUCUCAGGCAUAUUUUUAAUUCUCCUGCAAGAUCUGGAAACGUAGAUUAGCUGUUUUGAUAAACCAAAUUCCUUACUGCAGAAUAUUUCCAUAGUUAUGAAAAAAUGUAUUUCAGUCAGAUGUUCAGCAGCGAUCUGAGCAGAUCAAACUGGGGUUUUUUAAUUACAAUAUCCUAGUUUUGAGACCUGAGGAGAGUUUUAAAACUCCCCUGAGGCUAAUAUGCCACGGUUCUGUUGGCGACUUAGCCAAGACAGAUGGCAUACUGCCGCUUCCCUUGGAUUCUGCUGGGCAGCCAUCAUCCUGCUGAUACGGACUUGUUGGCUUACAGUCCAUGAGAAAUGCAUGCAAGACUUGUACAGAUUUCAAAUUCAGCUUCAGGACAAAAAAUGUGAACAUCCUAUCACACGGCUUUGUUGCCUUGUAAUUGGUGCAGUACAACCCCAUGCCUAUCAGGCUCCGUUUCAGCUGACAUACCCCUGUGUAUCUUAAGAGAAUCAGUUUUCCCCUUCUGUGUAAUUGUGACAGACGGCCAGAACUACACACUCUGAAGCAAUAUUUGUUUUUUAUGACUAUAGCAACAAUACCCACUGCAGAUUUACUCUGCCCCUGCUGAUGCAGCAGGUGAUGAUUUCUCUUUAUUCCAUGACUUAGUACUAGCCCAAUGGUAACAACAUGAAUCACUUGAGGGGCGAGGUAACACUAGGAAUGUUUUUUUAACUACCUUUUACAUUAAUUUAGCAAGAGGAGUCAAGAAACAAAGCUGGCAUACCAUGACCAACAACUGCCUGCGUAUAGCAAGAGUUUAAGAACCACUGAUUUAGUGUUUGGUAACGUAAAUUUUGUAUCAGAAAUCCUGUAUUCUAGUGGUGAAUUUGCUGCAGUCUGUGUGGUCUAAUGCAGAUUCCUCUUCUGAGUGCAGCCAUCUCCAUUUGUAAAACGGAUCAGUGGUGUUUAGUUUUCUAAACUGCUGCUGUGUGCAGCCUUAAAACUAAAAUGUUACAUAGUUGCCACAUGAAAAGACAUACUUCAUCUAUUUCUAAAAGGGCGAUUAUAUUGUGAAAUGUGAAUGGUGCACUAGAUAAUAGUUACAAUGCUCAUUAUGAUUUGUAAGAUAGAACAGUAAUUAUUUGUACAGCACUUUCUUGGUUGCAGAUUUCAAUCAGCCGCUUUGCAAAGAUGGAUAAGGCCAUUCAGACACCACUCUAUGACUGAAGAAGCCCAGCAAAGCUGGGGCCUGGAUUUUCAAAACUCCCUUCUAAUUUUUUGUCUUCAAGUUUGGGGCUUCAGUUUUGGGUGCUUAGUGGACAUUGCUGACAUCAAUUGGAGGUGUAGAUUCUUGAGUCUUGUUAAGAAAAACAAAAAAAUAUGUCUAAAUCAGAACCCUCUCAAAACAGAAAUAUAUAGACUUACAAGACCUGUCUUAAAUCUCAAAAUGAGUUGAUGACACUCACAGAGAUGCGUCUCCCGUCUCAUUCGUGGGUGCACGCUCAAUCCUCUCCAUCCGACUGUUCACAUCCAUCCUGAUGCCGAACUCCACAGUGACAGACACCGUGAACCACACUUCUCCUGCUUUAUGAUUCAUGGCCAAGGAAAAUAUUAUUUUACCUUUUCUGAGUGUUUAUAAAACCGCUUUGAAUUUAAGUGGGAUAGCACAUGGAACCAUCUGCUCCAUUUCCUCAAGGUCUUUUGGAGGAUAACUUCUACAGAACAGUAUUCCUCUACAUCCAUGCCACAAAUCCAUCCGUUAACUUUCUUAGAGCUUCUGGUUUUGCUCUACUGAAUUUCUCCAAGGUGUUUUACACCUCCUAGCCUCCAGAAAAGACUUGGAUGAUAUCGCUAGAAAUGUGACUUGGAUCAUUCUUUGAGAGACAGCUCAAUAACCAGCCCUUGUGAGAAAAAACACUGAAUCAAAGAACGAAAGGGAGGAGGCAUGGGGCCAGACUUAGAGUGAGAUUUAAGCAGCAAGCCCUCGUCCACCAGAGUUCAAGCUCUGACCCAAGCAGUCUUCCAUGGGAAUGAUUCCAUGGGUGAAGUACAACCAGACUAUCUGCUAAUUCUGCACAUACUUCUCAAGUCCCACUUGGAUUUUCUCACAGUGCUUCUGAAGGGUGUUUUUGUGGAAACUCACAAGUUGAGAUGUUUGACAACAGAGCUGCCAAUGGGACCAGAAGUUAUUACUAAACGAUCCACAGCCCAGCUACUGGUCAAGGGACCAUGUAACCUCUGCUUCCAUAAGCAACCAGCUAAGAAGACAAAGUCUUUCACACCUCUGGAUGUCUGCGUGGUUUCACACUUACAAUGGUUGAAAAACACUUACCAGCAGUAAACAGAGUUAGACUCCUUCACCUGUGGCAUGUGGAGAAAACUGGAGUACCCCUGGGGACAGCAGCAGCAGAAGUUGCUCAGCUCCAGCUCAGCUGUGGCUCUUCUGCUUGGUGCUGCAGAGGAUGGCCAAGCCUGUGGCUGUGGGUGUCUGGUGCUAUCUACAGCAGACCCAGGAGCGUUCAAAGUCUCCACAAGGGGAAACUGAGGCCCUAGGCACUGCAUGGUUCAAGUGUAGUUGUUAUUGCAUGCUGUUUUUGUGAGAUAGGCUGAGUUCAUGUCCAAAUCACGACAAUUCAAGCUGAAUUAAACACAAAUAAGUCAUCAUCUACUGCCAGAUACAUUCAGUGCAAAGACUUGCUAUUAAUUUGAGCCUGUGAAAAUCUUGGUGUGGGAGAGCUGUCUAGCAUUAUGUAAAAGAGAAUCUGAUUUCCCAAAUAACAUACAUCCACUGUAACCACCAGAUCAUCUUCCUGUAGUGCCCUAUCUAAAUCACUACAAUUUCCAGCUUCUCUAACAACAGCCUUACAAAUCACAGCUUCCUUCAAUACGCAGCUUUGACUCAUCUCCAAGCCAGGGUGAAAAAAUAGCAUGUGUUCUUGUGCAUAAAAAGCAUACAUGAUUCCCAGUCAACCUGAAUUAUUCUUCCCAAUUUGCAAAUGUUGCUUUUGUAGCCUUCAUAGAAUUCAGUUUUGGCACAUUUACAGAGAAAACUCCAAGGAUUUAAUCACAAAUAAACAGAAGAAAGAGAGCAGAUCUCACCACACAGUAUUGACGUGUUCUUUGAACUUUUUUUGUUGGUGAUUUACACAUAAUUGAUACUCCUUAGUCCCCAAUACUUGUGAUUUUUCCCCUAAAAAACACGUUAAUCUAGAAAACAUUGUAUAUUGUGAAGCUUUCUAGGCAGAAAUCACAUCUUUCCUUAUGUUUAGC